UACGAAGGGUGCUAGCGUUGUUCGGAAUUACUGGGCGUAAAGCGCGCGUAGGCGGCGGCACAAGUCAGGGGUGAAAUCCCACAGCUCAACUGUGGAAUUGCCUUUGAAACUAGGUCGCUAGAGUGUCGGAGGGGAUAGCGGAAUUGCUAAUGUAGAGGUGAAAUUCGUAGAUAUUAGCAGGAACACCGGUGGCGAAGGCGGCUAUCUGGACGACAACUGACGCUGAGGCGCGAAAGCGUGGGGAUCAAACAGG
rnacentral:rRNA from 1 species